rnacentral:sRNA from 1 species
GCUGGGCAUGGUGGCGUAUGCCUGUAAUCCCAGUGGCUCAGGAGGCUGAGGCAGGAGGAUCUCGAGUUCAAAGGCAGCCUCAGCAAAAGUGAGGCACUAGGCAACUCAGUGAAACCCUGUCUCUA